rnacentral:misc_RNA from 1 species
GAAAUGCGAUACGUAAUGUGAAUUGCAAAUUCAGUGAAUCAUCGAGUCUUUGAACGCACAUUGCGCCCCCUGGUAUUCCGGGGGGCAUGCCUGUCCGAGCGUCAUUGCUGCCCUCAAGCACGGCUUGUGUGUUGGGCCCCGUCCUCCGAUCCCGGGGGACGGGCCCGAAAGGCAGCGGCGGCACCAAAGGUUGACCUCGGAUCAGGUAGGAAUACCCGCUGAACUUAA